CGAAAGCGAGUCUGAAUAGGGCGCAUAGUCAGUGGAGGUAGACGCGAAACCCUGUGAUCUACCCAUGGCCAGGUUGAAGCGCGUGUAAGAGCGCGUGGAGGACCGAACCCACUUCAGUUGAAAAUGGAGGGGAUGAGCUGUGGGUAGGGGUGAAAGGCCAAUCAAACUCCGUGAUAGCUGGUUCUCCCCGAAAUGCAUUUAGGUGCAGCGUUGUAUGAGCUUGCCGGAGGUAGAGCUACUGGUUGGUUGAGCGGG
rnacentral:rRNA from 1 species